rnacentral:rRNA from 1 species
CAAGGAAUAUUGGGCAAUGGGUGAAAGCCUGACCCAGCGACGUCGCGUGGGGGAAGAAGGCCUUCGGGUCGUAAACCCCUUUUCUCAGGGAAGAAUAAAAUGACGGUACCUGAGGAAUAAGCCUCGGCUAACUACGUGCCAGCAGCCGCGGUAAUACGUAGGAGGCGAGCGUUAUCCGGAUUUACUGGGCGUAAAGAGAGCGUAGGCGGUUCUUCAAGUCGGAUGUAAAAUCUCCCGGCUCAACUGGGAGGGAUCAUUCGAUACUGUAGGGCUAGAGGGCAGCAGAGGGAGGUGGAAUUCCCGGUGUAGUGGUGGAAUGCGUAGAUAUCGGGAGGAACACCAGUGGCGAAAGCGGCCUCCUGGGCUGUUUCUGACGCUGAGGCUCGAAGGCAUGGGGAGCGAACAGG